rnacentral:lncRNA from 1 species
UCAGGUUCAGCAUUACCACGUCAUCACCAGUAAAUAGGGCUGGGCAAUAUUUUGAUAUUAUCAAUGAUACACGAUGAUUGUACGUACUCAAGAUCAUCAUAUUGAAAGUAAACGCUGAGCCGUGAUGGAGUUAUCGUAAGGGCCGAACUAACAAAGCUUAAUAAUAUAAAAUCUUAAAAAAACAAUGUUAAUUAAUCCAUCCCUUUAUUAUUUUGUUUGAUAAUUGCCAAGGAUUUCACACAGAAUCCCCUCCCCCAAUACCCCCAAGUGAAUCCAUCCCACUACUACACAAAAUAAUACUUCUUUCCCUCCGAGUCAGAGACAGAUUUUCAUAUUUUCGUUCAGGGGGUGGAUAAUAUCUGGGGAGGGUGCUGCUGCUUGCUUUGUCCAGGGCAUGGUGGCAACACCCAGAAAGGCCAAGGAAAAAGUUUAACAAAAUUUUUUCUAGGCCUGCAUGGCGAGAUCUGAGACCAUAAUAUUGGUAAUUUUACAAAUUUAGUAGUAAGAAUAAUCAAAUAUGAAACUAUCAAAUCGAAAUAUAUGUAAUUUGCAGAGGUGCCAAAUGCCUUUGGGAGGUGCAAAUCAUUUCUGGGAGGGUGUGCACCCCCCCCCCCCACACACACACACAGAAAAUCUGUGCCAAUUAACAAUGAAAGCAUUUUUUUACAGAUCUCUGCAAUAUUAUGUUUACAAGUUCCUUGAAGAUAUGAUUAUAAUAAAUGGUGACAUAUGUCUGUACAUUGUAGAGCAUUUUGUACAUAUUUUGUACUUAUAUUACUGAGGCCAAAUAAACAUAAUAGUUGGUUUCAGGUUUCACAGCCAUGUUUUAUAUGGGUAGGUACGUUGGAAAAGCAUUUUAUUUAAAAACACAUAAUCAGACGUGCCACACGGGAUCAACCGGGAGCUACACAUGUUUUGCGAGAAACAAAUGCGUCAAGGAUUAACAUGACUAGAUAAUGAUUAAAUUAUGAGCAAACAAAAUACUUUGUAGCAAAUGACUCUGAUGACUAUUUAUAUAUUCUGAUAUUUACGAAAAGAUGAUCCCUACUUGGGAAAUGUCAAUAAUAUGUUUAUGGCCGGUCAUAUUUUUGACACGUCGGUCAGAAACCUGAAGCCAACUAUUAUUUUUAUUUGGCCUGAGUACUUUUUAUAAUAUUCAGACAAUAGAUAAAUUUGUAUCAUAAUUAAAUUUGUAUCAAAAUCUGUAAUUUAAUAAAUAUUCAUUCCAUCUUGUUUCAUUUCUUGUUUUCUUUAGUAGCCUACAAGAAAAGAUCUUCUUAGAAAAUCUGAUAUUUUUGAAAACUUAUUACAUGUAUAUACACAAGGCUGUCGGAAGUAAAUCAAUAUUGG